GCCACUGUGAUGAAAUUUGGUAAACAUACAGGUAUGAGGUACCUGCGGCUUGUCCAUUCCGGUUCGAGUCCGGACAGCGGCA
rnacentral:tRNA from 1 species